rnacentral:rRNA from 1 species
GACGAACGCUGGCGGCGUGCUUAACACAUGCAAGUCGAACGGAAAGGCCCUGCUUUUGUGGGGUGCUCGAGUGGCGAACGGGUGAGUAACACGUGAGUAACCUGCCCUUGACUUUGGGAUAACUUCAGGAAACUGGGGCUAAUACCGGAUAGGAGCUCCUGCUGCAUGGUGGGGGUUGGAAAGUUUCGGCGGUUGGGGAUGGACUCGCGGCUUAUCAGCUUGUUGGUGGGGUAGUGGCUUACCAAGGCGUUGACGGGUAGCCGGCCUGAGAGGGUGACCGGCCACAUUGGGACUGAGAUACGGACCAGACUCCUACGGGAGGCAGCAGUGGGGAAUAUUGCACAAUGGGCGGAAGCCUGAUGCAGCAACGCCGCGUGCGGGAUGACGGCCUUCGGGUUGUAAACCGCUUUCGCCUGUGACGAAGCGUGAGUGACGGUAAUGGGUAAAGAAGCACCGGCUAACUACGUG